CCUACGGGGCGCAGCAGUGAGGAAUAUUGGUCAAUGGGCGUAAGCCUGAACCAGCCAAGUCGCGUGAGGGAUGAAGGUUCUAUGGAUCGUAAACCUCUUUUAUAAGGGAAUAAAGUGUGGGACGUGUCCUGUUUUGUAUGUACCUUAUGAAUAAGGAUCGGCUAACUCCGUGCCAGCAGCCGCGGUAAUACGGAGGAUCCGAGCGUUAUCCGGAUUUAUUGGGUUUAAAGGGUGCGUAGGCGGCCUUUUAAGUCAGCGGUGAAAGUCUGUGGAUCAACCAUAGAAUUGCCGUUGAAACUGGGAGGCUUGAGUAUGUUUGAGGCAGGCGGAAUGUGUGGUGUAGCGGUGAAAUGCUUAGAUAUCACGCAGAACCCCGAUUGCGAAGGCAGCCUGCCAAGCCAUGACUGACGCUGAUGCACGAAAGCGUGGGGAUCAAACAGGAUUAGAUACCCUAGUAGUC
rnacentral:rRNA from 1 species